GGUUAAGCGACUAAGCGUACACGGUGGAUGCCCUGGCAGUCAGAGGCGAUGAAGGGCGUGCUAAUCUGCGAUAAGCGCCGGUAAGGUGAUAUGAACCGUUAUAACCGGCGAUACCCGAAUGGGGAAACCCAGUGUGACUCGUCACACUAUCAUUAACUGAAUCCAUAGGUUAAUGAGGCGAACCGGGGGAACUGAAACAUCUAAGUACCCCGAGGAAAAGAAAUCAACCGAGAUUCCCCCAGUAGCGGCGAGCGAACGGGGAGGAGCCCAGAGCCUGAAUCAGCAUGUGUGUUAGUGGAAGCGUCUGGAAAGGCGCGCGAUACAGGGUGACAGCCCCGUACACAAAAGCGCAUGUGCUGUGAGCUCGAUGAGUAGGGCGGGACACGUGGUAUCCUGUCUGAAUAUGGGGGGACCAUCCUCCAAGGCUAAAUACUCCUGACUGACCGAUAGUGAACCAGUACCGUGAGGGAAAGGCGAAAAGAACCCCGGCGAGGGGAGUGAAAAAGAACCUGAAACCGUGUACGUACAAGCAGUGGGAGCCCCACCACUAAGCCAGUGGUGAACUCCACAUACGCAUCCUUUGCUGAGGAUACGGUUAACGGAGCGAAAGCGACGUUCAACCGCAAAAGAAGCAGAGGGGGCUUAGUGGUGGGGUGACUGCGUACCUUUUGUAUAAUGGGUCAGCGACUUAUAUUCUGUAGCAAGGUUAACCGAAUAGGGGAGCCGGAGGGAAACCGAGUCUUAAUUGGGCGUUAAGUUGCAGGGUAUAGACC
rnacentral:rRNA from 1 species